GAUGAAGAACGCAGCGAAAUGCGAUACGUAAUGUGAAUUGCAGAAUUCAGUGAAUCAUCGAGUCUUUGAACGCACAUUGCGCCCCCUGGUAUUCCGGGGGGCAUGCCUGUCCGAGCGUCAUUGCUGCCCUCAAGCCCGGCUUGUGUGUUGGGUCUCGUCCCCCUUCCCGGGGGGACGGGCCCGAAAGGCAGCGGCGGCACCGUGUCCGGUCCUCGAGCGUAUGGGGCUUUGUCACCCGCUCUGUAGGCCCGGCCGGCGCUUGCCGAUCAACCAAAACUUUUUUCCAGGUUGACCUCGGAUCAGGUAGGGAUACCCGCUGAACUUAAGCAUAUCAAUAAGGGAGGA
rnacentral:misc_RNA from 1 species